rnacentral:rRNA from 1 species
AUGAAGAGGAACGGUGCCAUUCUGGACCUUUUUCGAAAACAUGAAGAGAAAGCGAGGAAGAUUGCUACUGAACAUCACACUGAAGUUAUUGAAAAUGUGCGGUGUCCUAAUUCCCCACCUCCAAUCCAUUCCGAUACGGACAUGGAUACAGAUACUGAGAUCGAUGUUGAAAUUGAAGAUGCAACACCAAGUCUUCCAUCACCCCAACAGCCAAGUGCACAUGUCUUUUCAGGUGAUCCAGGGAAAAGAACUCCUAUUUUAGAGUAUGCUUUUAAUGAUCAAGAUAGUGUUCGAAGAAGAUACAUUGCAAAAACUGCAUGCCGACCAUAUGCACAUGCUUUUCAAGUCAGGAAAAUCUAUGGUAAAAAUCGACACUUUAGUUUUGUUUGGUUUGAAAAGUACAGUUGGCUAGAAUAUAGUGUCUCAAAGGAAGCAGCAUAUUGCUUUGUGUGCUAUUUGUUCAAAGGGAAAACUAAUGGGGGGCCUAGGGGUGAUGCCUUUGUUAAAACUGGUUGGAGAAAUUGGAACAAACCUGAUGCACUGGACAAACAUAUGGGCGGUAUUGGUAGCAUUCACAACCAAGCUCAAGAGAAGUACAAUUUAUUUGUGACGCCUCAAACGUCAAUUUGUAAUACCAUGGUGAGGGUGUCUAAACAUGAUCUGCGUCUUUACAAGGCUAGGCUAACUUAUUCACUAAGAUGCUUGAGGUUUCUUUUGAACCAAGGAUUGGCAUUUCGUGGACAUGAUGAGAGUGAAGAAUCUAGCAAUAGGGGGAACUUUCUUGAACUUCUAAAAUGGCUUGCAGAAAAUGAUGAAGAAGUUGAUAAGAUUGUUUUGCACAAUGCUCCUGGAAACUGCAUCUUGACUAGUCCAACGAUACAAAAACAAAUUAUUGAAUGUUGUGCUGUGCUAACUACAAAACAAAUUAUUGAAGAUCUUGGUGAUGAGCACUAUGCGAUCCUAGCUGAUGAGUCUAGUGAUGCAUCUCAUAAAGAGCAACUUGCUAUUUGCAUACGUUAUGUUGAUAAAGUUGGAAAGGGGUGUGAGAGGUUUCUUGGAGUUGUUCAUGUUGCCAACACAACUUCCUUGUCACUUAAAGCUGCAAUUGAAUCUUUGCUUACCGAUCAUCAUUUGACUCUUACUCAAAUCCGUGGGCAAGGAUAUGACGGGGCUAGCAACAUGAAAGGAGAGAUUAAAGGGUUGAAAACAUUGAUCAUGAAAGACUCGCCCUCUGCUUAUUACAUUCAUUGCUUUGCACAUCAACUUCAAUUGGUUCUUAUUGCCGUGGCAAAGGGAAAUGAACCAUGUAAAUGGUUUUUUGAUCAUGUUUCUUACUUGCUGAAUAUUGUUGGAGUUUCUUGCAAGCGUCAUGACAUGCUUCGAGAUGUUAGAGCUCAAAAGGUUCUGGAAGCACUUGAAAUGGGUGAAAUUGAAAGUGGAAGUGGGUUAAAUCAAGAGAUGGGAUUAGCUAGACCUGGUGAUACUCGGUGGGGUUCUCAUUUUCGAACCAUUCUGCACAUUAUUACCAUGUACCCCACAAUACUAGAAGUACUUGAUACUAUUGGAAAAGAUCCUUCACAAAGUGGUGAGUGGACAAGAAUACGUGCAGUGGCUUUUGCCUUGGAGUCAUAUGACUUUGUUUUCAAUCUUCACGUGAUGCUUGUUAUUCUUAGCCACACUAAUGAGUUGUCUCAGUCAUUGCAAAAGAGAGAUCAAGAUAUUGUUAAUGCAAUGGCACUUGUUAGUUUGGCAAAGAAUAAAAUGCGACAUAUGAGGUCUCAUGGCUGGGAAGAAUUUCUUGCAAAGGUGACAUUGUUUUGCAACAAACAUGGCAUUGAAGUUCCUACACCAGAGGAUAAUUAUGUGCCUCAUGGAAGAUCACCUCGGUAUUAUCAAGUGCAAACAAAUGAUGAUCGUUAUAGAAGAAGUAUAUCUUGGUAUCCUUGA